UACGUAGGGUGCAAGCGUUGUCCGGAAUUAUUGGGCGUAAAGAGCUUGUAGGCGGUUUUGUCGCGUCUGCUGUGAAAUUUCGGGGCUCAACCCCGAACUUGCAGUGGGUACGGGCAGACUAGAGUGUGGUAGGGGAGACUGGAAUUCCUGGUGUAGCGGUGAAAUGCGCAGAUAUCAGGAGGAACACCGAUGGCGAAGGCAGGUCUCUGGGCCACUACUGACGCUGAGAAGCGAAAAGCAUGGGGGAGCGAACAGG
rnacentral:rRNA from 1 species